CAGGCUUGUAACUGUUGGAAGUAACCCUGGUGUAAGUUGUACACAAGAAUGUAUUGCUGGUUACAGCUCACCAAGCGAUCAUGCCUUCAGCCAUCACCCUCAUCAGACACCAGCUUAAUGAACUUGCUGGUAUUGGACUGUGACUCUCCAAAAUUGUGAUGGGCAGCUGGAUCACGUUCAUUUGGAAGCUGUUGUGAACAAUGCAACAGUAAUGGUGGCAUAACAUCCUACGCUGGCAUGAUGAAUGCGUGUUCACCAAGAAAUUUUGGCUACCACAGAAAAGCACACCAACAUCCAGAACCCAGACUUUCCUCCUUUCCUUCCCCCUCCUUUUUUAUGCUUUCUUUGAUAUCCUCAGAGAAAAGCAGAAGAGCCUACACUAGGUCCUGCAGAUCACAGACCAAAUAAACCUGAAUCUGUGCCAUUCCACAAACCA